GUUUCAUAUAUACAAGGAGGAAGGAAGCAAUAUUCACUGAAUUACUGCACUUCAUACAAUGAAUCCUAAGGAAAGACCUUCAGCCCGGGGAAUGCCCUCCGCAGCAGAGUGGCAGACAGUCACAGCCAGGACCGGAGCAGCUCGCAGAGAAUCGGUACCAACUUCUCCAGUUUGACUGGAGAACAGAUCAAGAGAUCCAAGAGGACCCAGAGGAGGAGGUGACGAGUGCUCGUCAUAGGCGACUCCAUCCUGAGAGGUAUGGAAGGGUCCAUCUGUCGCCAGGACCCCUCAGCAUGAGAGGUAUGCUGCCUCCCUGGAGCAAAGAUUCGGGAUGUGAAGGAGGUAAUCCAGGCCCGGAUCAAGCCCACCGAUUACUACCCCAUGGUCCUAGUCCAUGUGGGUACUAAUGAUGCGGCCAGGAGAACCCCCGAUCACCUGA